GACAGCUCAGCUGGUAGAGCAUGACGGCCCUUAAUCUCAGUGUUGUAGGUUCAAUUCCUGCAUUGCA